UGUUGCGGUCCGGAGUCAGCGGGUUAUCAUUAUCAGCACUCUUGGAUUAUAAUGGACUGGCCGCCCUGGUGGGCAAACCUACCCCAUUGACACAACUUGACCGCACU
rnacentral:sRNA from 1 species